rnacentral:rRNA from 1 species
CACGUAGGGGACGAGCGUUGUCCGGAUUCAUUGGGCGUAAAGCGCGCGUAGGCGGCUCGGAAAGUCGGUCGUGAAAUGCCGGGGCUCAACCCCGGGACUGCGUCCGAUACUCCCGAGCUGGAGGCAGGUAGGGGAGAUCGGAAUUCCUGGUGUAGCGGUGAAAUGCGCAGAUAUCAGGAGGAACACCAAUUGCGAAGGCAGCUCGCUGGGACGUUACUGACGCUGAGACGCGAAAGCGUGGGGGAGCAAACAGG